UACGUAGGGUGCAAGCGUUGUCCGGAAUUAUUGGGCGUAAAGAGCUUGUAGGCGGUUUGUCGCGUCUGCUGUGAAAAUCCGGGGCUCAACCCCGGACUUGCAGUGGGUACGGGCAGACUAGAGUGUGGUAGGGGAGACUGGAAUUCCUGGUGUAGCGGUGAAAUGCGCAGAUAUCAGGAGGAACACCGAUGGCGAAGGCAGGUCUCUGGGCCACUACUGACGCUGGAGAAGCGGAAAAGCCAUGGGGAGCGAACAGG
rnacentral:rRNA from 1 species